rnacentral:rRNA from 1 species
CCUACGGGGUGCUGCAGUGGGGAAUAUUGCACAAUGGGGGAAACCCUGAUGCAGCGACGCCGCGUGAGCGAUGAAGUCUUUCGGUAUGUAAAGCUCUAUCAGCAGGGAAGAAAAUGACGGUACCUGACCAAGAAGCCCCGGCCAACUACGUGCCAGCAGCCGCGGCACUACGGAGGGGGCAAGCGUUAUCCGGAUUUACUGGGUGUAAAGGGAGCGUAGACGGCUUGGCAAGCCAGAUGUGAAAGGCUGGGGCUCAACCCCAGGACUGCAUUUGGAACUGUCAUGCUAGAGUGUCGGAGAGGCAGGCGGAAUUCCUAGUGUAGCGGUGAAAUGCGUAGAUAUUAGGAGGAACACCAGUGGCGAAGGCGGCCUGCUGGACGAUGACUGACGUUGAGGCUCGAAAGCGUGGAGAGCAAACAGGAUUAGAUACCCUAGUAGUC